ensembl:lncRNA
UAUCUCAUGAAUUGUGGAUGUGUAUGGAUAUAAAUCCAUGGAGUCCCAAACAGCACCGUUUGGGAAGCAGUCCAUAUUGUCCUAUAAAGUCUUAGAAUGACCGGAUCCUCUGUUGUCUAGAGGUGAAGGUCUCUCUACCUACAUUCGUCUUCUUGCUUUGACCAACACAUGAUUCUAGAGCUGUAGGUCUCUCUUCCUACAUUCGUCUUCUUGCUUUGACCAACACCUGUUCCAGGUUAAACCAGGUAUAGUGGAGAGUGACAGAGUUCCAGGGUAACCAGGUAUAGUGGAGAGUUCCAGGUAUAGUAGAGAGUUCCAGGUUAAACCAGGUAUAGUGGAGAGUUCCAGGUAUAGUAGAGAGUUCCAGGUUAAACCAGGUAUAGUGGAGAGUUCCAGGUUAAACCAGGUAUAGUGGAGAGUGACAGAGUUCCAGGGUAAACCAGGUAUAGUAGAGAGUUCCAGGUUAAACCAGGUAUAGUGGAGAGUUCCAGGGUAAACCAGGUAUAGUGGAGAGUUCCAGGUUAAACCAGGUAUAGUGGAGAGUUCCAGGGUAAACCAGGUAUAGUGGAGAGUUCCAGGUUAAACCAGGUAUAGUGGAGAGUUCCAGGGUAAACCAGGUAUAGUGGAGAGUUCCAGGGUAAACCAGGUAUA